rnacentral:lncRNA from 1 species
GGCUCGAUCGAUGAUUCAACACUCUUUUCCAUAUGUUCAUAGUUCGAUAAUAUAUCUACCAUCAUGACCUACGUCUAUCCAUCCUAUCGAGACAUUUCGGGCUGACCAAUGCUUCAUCCAACCCAAAGGAAAUGAAAAGAGAUCAUUCUCAUAUAUUAAGCUUUUCUUAGUCUUUUAGGCAUCUAAUGAAUUCCCACAUGCUCUCGAACGACGGUUCUCGUUUCUUGCAGUAGAGAU